rnacentral:rRNA from 1 species
GGUUUGAUUAUGGCUCAGAUUGAACGCUGGCGGGAUGCUUUACACAUGCAAGUCGAACGGCAGCACGGACUUCGGUCUGUGGCGAGUGGCGAAUGAAAAGAGUGUUGGCCUGAACCGCUUCAGAAGCGGGGAUAACUACGCGAAAGCGUAGCUUGUUGCAGCAGUGCUGCUCUCGGGAAAGUAGACCUCUGGCCUCGCAUCACAGAGCGGCCGAUAUCGGAUUAGCGAGUUAGGGUAACGGCUCACCACAUGACGAUCCGUAGCUGGUCGAGGAUGACCAGCCACACUGGGACUGAGACACGGCCCAGACUCCUACGGGAGGCAGCAGUGGGAAUUUUGGACAAUGGGGAAACCCUGAUCCAGCCAUCCUGCGUAAAGAGAAGGCCUCGGGUUGUGGAAGUAAUUUUUGGCAGGAGUUGAAAACGGCACGGGAUAUCCCGCAACUGACGGUACUCUGCAGAAUAAGCACCGGCUAACUACAAAGCCAGCAGCCGCGGUAAUACGUAGGGUGCGUUAAUCGGAAUUACUGGGCGUAAGCGUGCGCAGGCGGUUCGGCAGUGAUAAAUCAGAGCUUAACUUGGAACUGCAUUUUUAACUAUCGAGUUAAGUGUGUCAGAGGAGGUGGAAUUCCGCGUGUAGCAGUGAAAUACGUAGAUAUGCGGAGGAACACCGAUGGCGAAGGCAGCCUCCUGGGAUAACACUGACGUCACAUGAAAGUGGGGAGCAAACAGGAUUAGAUACCCUCUGGUAGUCCACGCCCUAAACGAUGUCAACUAGCUGUUGGGGCCUUCGGGCCUUGAAAGCGCAGCUAACGCAGAAGUUGACCGCCUGGGGAGUAUUAUCGCAAGAUUAAAACCCAAAGGAAUUGACGGGGACUCCGCACAAGCGGUGGAUGAUGUGGAUUACCUGAUGCAACGCGAAAACCUUACCUACCCUUGACAUGUCUGGAAUCCCGAAGAGAUUUGGGAGUGCCGCAGAGAACUUUGAACACAGGUGCUGCAUGGCUAUUGUCAGCUCGUGUCGUGAGAUGUUGGGUUAAGUCCUGCAACGAGCGCAACCCUUGUCAUUAGUUACAAGUGAAAGGGCACUCUAAUGAGAUGCUGUGACAAACCGAGGAAGGUGGGGAUGACGUCAAGUCCUCAUGGCCCUUUAUGGGUAGGGCUUCACACGUCAUACAAUGGUCAGACAGAGGGUCGCCAACUCCGCGAGGGGGAGCCAAUCCCAGAAACCCGAUCAGAACUCGAUCGCGAGCUUGUAACUCGACUGGUGCAGUCGGAAUCGCUAGUAAUCGCGGAUCAGCAUGUCGCGGUGAAUACGUUCCCGGUUUUCAGCGAUGACCCGCCCGCCUGGCACCUAUGGGCGGCUUUACCAUGAAGUUGGCUCAACCGGGCGGAAGGACACGAUGAGAGAUCUGGCGACCGGGGUGAAGCUGGGAAUACGGGGUAA